GUGGGGAAUUUUGGACAAUGGGCGCAAGCCUGAUCCAGCAAUGCCGCGUGCAGGAAGAAGGCCUUCGGGUUGUAAACUGCUUUUGUACGGAACGAAACGGUCCGGGUUAAUACCCUGGGCUAAUGACGGUACCGUAAGGAUAAGCACCGGCUAACUACGUGCCAGCAGCCGCGGUAAUACGUAGGGUGCAAGCGUUAAUCGGAAUUACUGGGCGUAAAGCGUGCGCAGGCGGUUUUGUAAGACAGGCGUGAAAUCCCCGGGCUCAACCUGGGAAUUGCGCUUGUGACUGCAAGGCUGGAGUGCGGCAGAGGGGGAUGGAAUUCCGCGUGUAGCAGUGAAAUGCGUAGAUAUGCGGAGGAACACCGAUGGCGAAGGCAAUCCCCUGGGCCUGCACUGACGCUCAUGCACGAAAGCGUGGGGAGCAAACAGGAUUAGAAACCCUAGUAGUCC
rnacentral:rRNA from 1 species